rnacentral:misc_RNA from 1 species
CCGAGUGCGGGCCCUCUGGGUCCAACCUCCCAUCCGUGUCUCUUGUACCCUGUUGCUUCGGCGGGCCCGCCUUCACGGCCGCCGGGGGGCUCUCUUGCCCCCGGGCCCGCGCCCGCCGGAGACUCCAACAUUGAACACUGUCUGAAGGUUGCAGUCUGAGUUUUCAUAUAAGAAAAAUCGUUA